CCUACGGGAGGCAGCAGUGGGGAAUUUUGGACAAUGGGGGCAACCCUGAUCCAGCCAUUCCGCGUGAGUGAAGAAGGCCUUCGGGUUGUAAAGCUCUUUCGGCAGGAACGCGGUACCUGAAGAAGAAGCACCGGCUAACUACGUGCCAGCAGCCGCGGUAAUACGUAGGGUGCGAGCGUUAAUCGGAAUUACUGGGCGUAAAGCGUGUGCAGGCGGUCUGUUAAGACAGGUGUGAAAUCCCCGGGCUUAACCUGGGAAUGGCGCUUGUUACUGGCAGACUAGAGUGCGUCAGAGGGGGGUGGAAUUCCACGUGUAGCAGUGAAAUGCGUAGAGAUGUGGAGGAACACCGAUGGCGAAGGCAGCCCCCUGGGAUGAACUGACGCUCAUACACGAAAGCGUGGGGAGCAAACAGGAUUAGAUACCCUUGUAGUC
rnacentral:rRNA from 1 species